ensembl:lncRNA
UUGUCAUUUUAGCCUGUCGUGCCUGCUCCUAUAACAAGUGUGAGUUCCAAAACAGGGCUCGUGACCUGCAGCCUCGCCCGUCUGCUGGAGAGAGGGGGAGAUAGAGUGGAAGAGAGAGAGAGGUUUGACUUGUUAGUCAGGCCUCCUUCAUCAGGUCUCCUUAUGGCCUCCUUCAUCAGGUCUCCUUAUGGCCUCCUUCACCAGGUCUCCUCAAGGCCUCCUUCACCAGGUCUCCUCAUGGCCUCCUUCACCAGGUCUCCUCAUGGCCUCCUUCUCCAGGUCUCCUCAAGGUCUCCUUCCCUAGGUCUCCUCAAGGCCUCCUUCACCAGGCCUCCUCAAGGCCUCCUUCACCAGGUCUCCUCAUGGCCUCCUUCAUCAGGUCUCCUCAAGGCCUCCUUCACCAGGUCUCCUCAUGACCUCCUUCCCUAGGUCUCCUCAAGGCCUCCUUCACCAGGUCUCCUCAUGGACUCCUUCACCAGGUCUCCAUAUGGCCUCCUUCUUUGCCCCUUAUCUCACCUUGCUUCUCUUUGCUUUGUUCUGAGUCUUAGUACCCUGGGGACCUGGCACAUGGGUCAAGUCACGGUGUGACACAGCCUCCUCUCCUCCUCAUACAACACUACCUUUGUACUAUCACCUGUCACCUGUACAGUCAAUCUCACUUGUGUUUUAAUACCAGACAGCCCCUCUCACAGCGGUUAGCCCGUUCUCCUGUGUGAUGUUAUAAGUCAUUACCCAGUCUCAGACAGAAAAGGCAUCGGUCACUCAGUGUAUCCAACCACUGGAAGAGUCACACAUGAAAGAAGUUUAAUCAUCCAUUUUAUUGCUAGCUAGACAAAUAUUACAAAAAUAACGGAAGUGUGGUCAAAGUUAUGAGUUUGAAUGCCACGGUGCAAACAGUUAAUGUUUUAUCGGUCAUGUUUUGUUUAUUCUUCCCUCCCUGAUUGGGAUAGUUCACUUUAGCCUAAUAAUUCUUCACGUCAGCCGCCGUGCUUUUGACCUUGGGUUCCAGUGGCAGCCCAGAUUACUCCAACAAACCCAUGAGACAACACCAGCAAACUCCAAGAAUUCCAAACACUACUCAAACAAACUAAUUAGACUACUCCAACAAACUCCAACAAACCACAAGACUAUUCCAACAAUCGCCAAGAAAUCCCAAGACUACAACAUUAAACCCUAAGACAACUUCAAGAACCCCCAAUACUACUCCAACAAACUCCAAGAAACCCCAUGACUACACCAACAAACUCCAAGAAACCCCAAGACUAGUCCAACAAACUCCAAGAACCCCCAAUACUACUCCCACAACCUCCAAGAAACCCCAUGACUACACCAACAAACUCCAAGAAACCCCAAGACUAGUCCAACAAACUCCAAGAAACCCCAUGACUACACCAACAAACUCCAAGAAACCCCAAGACUAGUCCAACAAACUCCAAUAAACCCCAUGACUACUCCAACAAACUCCAAGAAACCCCAUGACUACACCAACAAACUCCAAGAAACCCCAAUACUAGUCCAACAAACUCCAAGAAACCCCAUGACUACACCAACAAACUCCAAGAAACCCCAAGACUAGUCCAACAAACUCCAAGAAACCCCAAGACUAGUCCAACAAACUCCAAGAAACCCCAUGACUACACCAACAAACUCCAAGAAACCCCAUGACUACACCAACAAACUCCAAGAAACCCCAUGACUACACCAACAAACUCCAAGAAACCCCAAGACU